UACAGAGGGUGCAAGCGUUGUUCGGAAUUAUUGGGCGUAAAGGGCGCGUAGGCGGUGCCACAAGUCACCUGUGAAAUCUCCGGGCUUAACUCGGAGCCUGCAGGCGAAACUGUGGUGCUGGAGUGUGGGAGAGGUGCGUGGAAUUCCCGGUGUAGCGGUGAAAUGCGCAGAUAUCAGGAAGAACACCUGUGGCGAAGGCGGCUCUCUGGGACGGUACUGACGCUGAGACGCGAAAGCGUGGGGAGCGAACAGG
rnacentral:rRNA from 1 species